AGGGGCGCGCAGCGCCGGCGCAGGCGCAGGCGCGGAGGGGCGCGCCCGAACCCGAACCCUAAUGCCGUCAUAAGAGCCCUAGGGAGACCUUAGGGAACAAGCAUUAAACUGACACUCGAUUCUGUAGCCGGCUCUGCCAAGAGACAUGGCGUUGCGGUGAUAUGAGGGCAGGGGUCAUGGAAGAAAGCCUUCUGGUUUUAGACCCACAGGAAGAUCUGUGACGCGCUCUUGGGUAGAGCACACGUUGCUGGGCGUGCGCUUGAAAAGAGCCUAAGAAGAGGGGGCGUCUGGAAGGAACCGCAACGCCAAGGGAGGGUGUCCAGCCUUCCCGCUUCAACACCUGGACACAUUCUGGAAAGUUUCCUAAGAAAGCCAGAAAAAUAAUUUAAAAAAAAAUCCAGAGGCCAGACGGGCUAAUGGGGCUUUACUGCGACUAUCUGGCUUAAUCCUCCAAACAACCUUGCCAUACCAGCCCAUCAGUCCUCUGAGACAGAUGAGGCCUCACUCUGUCACCCAGGUUGGGGUGGAGUGGCACAGUCACAGCUCACUAUAACCUCAAGCUCCUGGGCUCAAGUGAUCCUGCCACCUCAGCCUCCUAAGUAGCUGGAACUACAGAUGUGCACUGCCAUGCCAGGCUUGUCUAACAUUUUUAUGUGUUGCUUCAUCCAGUUUGCUAGAGUUUUUGGAGAUUUCUGUCUU
ensembl:lncRNA LINC02564 long intergenic non-protein coding RNA 2564